CACGUAGGGUGCGAGCGUUGUCCGGAAUUAUUGGGCGUAAAGAGCUCGUAGGCGGUGUGUCGCGUCGGCCGUGAAAACCUGCAGCUUAACUGUGGGCUUGCGGUCGAUACGGGCAUCACUGGAGUUCGGCAGGGGAGACUGGAAUUCCUGGUGUAGCGGUGAAAUGCGUAGAUAUCGAGAGGAACACCUGCGGCGAAGGCGGGUAGCUGGGCCGACACUGACGCUGAUGCGCGAAAGCCAGGGGAGCGAACGGG
rnacentral:rRNA from 1 species